rnacentral:rRNA from 1 species
AGUGAACGCUGGCGGCGUGCCUAAUACAUGCAAGUCGAACGAUGAAGUCCUAGCUUGCUCGGAUGGAUUAGUGGCGCACGGGUGAGUAAUAUAUAGUUAAUCUGCCCUACACAGAGGAACAACAGUUGGAAACGACUGCUAAUACCUCAUACUCCUAUUUGACAUAAGUUAAAUAGGGAAAGUCUUUUCGGUGUAGGAUGAGACUAUAUCGUAUCAGCUAGUUGGUAAGGUAUGGCUUACCAAGGCUAUGACGCGUAACUGGUCUGAGAGGAUGAUCAGUCACAUUGGAACUGAGACACGGUCCAAACUCCUACGGGAGGCAGCAGUAAGGAAUAUUGCGCAAUGGGGGAAACCCUGACGCAGCAACGCCGCGUGGAGGAUGACACUUUUCGGAGCGUAAACUCCUUUUAUCAGGAAAGAAUAAUGACGGUACCUGAUGAAUAAGCACCGGCUAACUCCGUG